rnacentral:rRNA from 1 species
UACGUAGGGCGCAAGCGUUGUCCGGAAUUCUUGGGCGUAAAGCGCACGUAGGCGGUUCGUUAUGUCGGAUGUGAAAGCCCUUGGCUUAACCGAGGAAGUGCAUCCGAAACUGGCGAGCUAGAGUACUAAAGAGGAUCGCGGAAUUCCCGGUGUAGAGGUGAAAUUCGUAGAUAUCGGGAGGAACACCGGUGGCGAAGGCGGCGAUCUGGGUAGAUACUGACGCUGAGGUGCGAAAGCGUGGGGAGCAAACAGG